rnacentral:lncRNA from 1 species
CUUCAGGUUGAACCCUCUGCCCCCUGUCCUCCAGUUAAACCCUCUGUCCUUCAGGUUGAAACCCCUCUGCCCCUGUCCUCCAGGUUAAACCCCUCUGUCCUCCAGGUUGAACCCCUCUGUCCCCUGUCCUCCAGGUUGAACCCCUCUGCCCCUGUCCUCCAGGUUGAACCCCUGGCCGUCCUCCAGGUUGAACCCCUCUGGCCCCUGUCCUCCAGGUUGAACCCCUCUGCCCUCCAGGUUAAACCCCUCUGUCCUUCAGGUUGAACCCCUCUGCACCCUGUCCUCUAGGUUGAACCCCCCUGUCCUCCAGGUUGAACCCUCUGCCCCCUGUCCUCCAGUUUGAACCCACUGCCCCCUGUCCUCCAGGUUGAACACCCCCCCCCCUGUCCUCCAGGUUGAACACCCCCCCCCCCCCAUUGUCCUCCAGGUUGAAACCCCCCCACUUGUCCUCAGGUUGAACCCCCCCUUGUCCUCCAGGUUGAACCCCCCCCCUUGUCCUCCAGGUUGAACACCCCCCCUUGUCCUCCAGUUGACACCCCCCCCCCCCUGUCC